UACGAAGGGGGCUAGCGUUGCUCGGAAUCACUGGGCGUAAAGCGCACGUAGGCGGCUUGUUAAGUCAGGGGUGAAAUCCUGGAGCUCAACUCCAGAACUGCCUUUGAUACUGGCGAGCUUGAGUUCGGGAGAGGUGAGUGGAACUGCGAGUGUAGAGGUGAAAUUCGUAGAUAUUCGCAAGAACACCAGUGGCGAAGGCGGCUCACUGGCCCGGUACUGACGCUGAGGUGCGAAAGCGUGGGGAGCAAACAGG
rnacentral:rRNA from 1 species